rnacentral:piRNA from 1 species
UUACCGGAAAAUAAAAAUGGGCGACAGGA